GAUGAACGCUGGCGGCGUGCCUAAUACAUGCAAGUCGAGCGAACAGACGAGGCUCUUGCUCCUCUGACGUUAGCGGCGGACGGGUGAGUAACACGUGUAUAACUUACCUUUAAGACUGGGAUCACUUCGGGAAACCGGAUCUAAUACCGGAUAACAUGUUGAACCGCAUGGUUCAACAGUGAAAGACGGUCUUGCUGUCACUUAUAGAUGGUUCCGCGCCGCAUUAGCUAGUUGGUAAGGUAACGGCUUACCAAGGCAACGAUGCGUAGCCGACCUGAGAGGGUGAUCGGCCACACUGGAACUGAGACACGGUCCAGACUCCUACGGGAGGCAGCAGUAGGGAAUCUUCCGCAAUGGGCGAAAGCCUGACGGAGCAACGCCGCGUGAGUGAAGAAGGUCUUCGGAUCGUAAAACUCUGUUAUUAGGGAAGAACAAAUGUGUAAGUAACUAUGCACGUCUUGACGGUACCUAAUCAGAAAGCCACGGCUAACUACGUG
rnacentral:rRNA from 1 species